UGGACCGGCUCUUUCUUUGGACCGCUCUAAUUUCUCGAAACCUAAGUACUUUAAAAAUCAACCGUUUGCACGAAACGUUAGCUAUUUGAGCUAGUACCAACCCCCGCUCUCACCAGUGUCGCCGUGAGCUCCGUUGGGGAAGGAAGUUUGCUGCAGUGUUUCGCGCGCUCCCGAUGUAAUUUUCUCGUGACACAGUUUACCAGCAUGGCAACACGAGGGGAAUACUAUGCGUCGAACGAAGAAAGCAUGACAUUGGCACUACAAGCUUUAAGUAAAUAAGAAGUUAGACUGAAUGAGGCAAGUAGGAUAUAUGGUGUACCAAAAGCGACGCUAAAAAGAAGGCUGGACGACAAAAAUUUAAGAGCAAAAGGUGCAA